AGAAGUGCAGUGAUCUGCAGUAGGCCUGAAAAGACUCUCUCAUUAGAGGCACUUUGCUCUGUGCAAAACAUCUAUAUUCACAGGAAGAGAAGGCUCAGCUGUGGGGAAAAGACUGCAGCAAAUGAAUGACGUUGGAGCUAGGUGUGAAAUGCGAAGGUACCAAAUUAACUGCAAAGCUCGGCAGUUAUGCAUGGACAGAAUCAGUUCACCAGCGGGACCUCAUGACAAAACUCCGACGCACUGCAGUGCGGCCAACAUUAGCUUCUCAGUGAUUACAUUGGUAUUCUAAUCCUCACCCUGCCCAUACCUGGAGCACUGUGACAAAUAACACACUUGGUCUGCCAGCCGGGAAUGAGUGAUAAUGCUUCUGGAAUCUGCUGCAGGAGACC